rnacentral:rRNA from 1 species
UUCCUACGGGUGGCUGCAGUGGGGAAUAUUGCACAAUGGGCGAAAGCCUGAUGCAGCAACGCCGCGUGAGCGAUGAAGGCCUUUGGGUCGUAAAGCUCUGUCCUUGGGGAAGAAACAAAUGACGGUACCCUUGGAGGAAGCCCCGGCUAACUACGUGCCAGCAGCCGCGGUGAUACGUAGGGGGCGAGCGUUAUCCGGAAUUAUUGGGCGUAAAGAGUGCGUAGGUGGUCAUAUAAGCGCGGGGUGAAAGGCAAUAGCUUAACUAUUGUAAGCCUUGCGAACUGUGUGGCUUGAGUGCAGGAGAGGAAAGUGGAAUUCCUAGUGUAGCGGUGAAAUGCGUAGAUAUUAGGAGGAACACCAGUGGCGAAGGCGACUUUCUGGACUGUAACUGACACUGAGGCACGAAAGCGUGGGGAGCAAACAGGAUUAGAUACCCGGGUAGUCGUG